rnacentral:rRNA from 1 species
GACGAACGCUGGCGGCGUGCUUAACACAUGCAAGUCGAACGGAAAGGCCCUGCUUUUGUGGGGUGCUCGAGUGGCGAACGGGUGAGUAACACGUGAGUAACCUGCCCUUGACUUUGGGAUAACUUCAGGAAACUGGGGCUAAUACCGGAUAGGAGCUCCUGCUGCAUGGUGGGGGUUGGAAAGUUUCGGCGGUUGGGGAUGGACUCGCGGCUUAUCAGCUUGUUGGUGGGGUAGUGGCUUACCAAGGCUUUGACGGGUAGCCGGCCUGAGAGGGUGACCGGCCACAUUGGAACUAAGAUACGGCCCAGACGCCUACGGGAGGCAGAAGUGGGGAAUAUUGCACAAUGGGCGGAAGCCUGAUGCAGCAACGCCGCAUGCGGGAUAACGGCCUUCGGGUUGUAAACCGCUUUCGCAUGUAACGAAGCGUGAGUGACGGUAAUGGGUAAAGAAGCACCGGCUAACUACGUG